rnacentral:rRNA from 1 species
UGGGGAAUAUUGCACAAUGGGCGCAAGCCUGAUGCAGCCAUGCCGCGUGUAUGAAGAAGGCCUUCGGGUUGUAAAGUACUUUCAGAGGGGAGGAAGGCGAUGUGGUUAAUAACCGCGUCGAUUGACGUUACCCGCAGAAGAAGCACCGGCUAACUCCGUGCCAGCAGCCGCGGUAAUACGGAGGGUGCAAGCGUUAAUCGGAAUUACUGGGCGUAAAGCGCACGCAGGCGGUCUGUCAAGUCGGAUGUGAAAUCCCCGGGCUCAACCUGGGAACUGCAUCCGAAACUGGCAGGCUUGAGUCUCGUAGAGGGGGGUAGAAUUCCAGGUGUAGCGGUGAAAUGCGUAGAGAUCUGGAGGAAUACCGGUGGCGAAGGCGGCCCCCUGGACGAAGACUGACGCUCAGGUGCGAAAGCGUGUGGAGCAAACA